CGGGGCGUAGCGCAGUCUGGCUAGCGCGUCAGAAUGGGGUUCUGAAGGUCCCGGGUUCAAAUCCCGGCGCCCCGACCA
rnacentral:tRNA from 1 species